AAUUAACACUAGGACCAUGUUUAUUCCCCUAAUACAAUUGGAUAUGAAAAUCUCAAUCCCAAAGACCUCAGAAAGUUUUUAAAGGACCUUUGGCACAACCCUGCCAACUCACUCCAUGGUUAAUAUUGCUUGCUGCAGUUAUUCCACGAAUUGCAUGAAAAAAUAAUGUGAAACUUU
rnacentral:sRNA from 1 species